rnacentral:rRNA from 1 species
CACGUAGGGUGCGAGCGUUGUCCGGAAUUAUUGGGCGUAAAGAGCUCGUAGGCGGUGUGUCGCGUCGGCCGUGAAAACUUGCAGCUUAACUGUGGGCGUGCGGUCGAUACGGGCAUCACUGGAGUUCGGCAGGGGAGACUGGAAUUCCUGGUGUAGCGGUGAAAUGCGCAGAUAUCAGGAGGAACACCGGUGGCGAAGGCGGGUCUCUGGGGCCGAUACUGACGCUGAGGAGCGAAAGCGUGGGGAGCGAACAGG